rnacentral:rRNA from 1 species
GCGAGUGAAGUGGGAAAAGCUCAAAUUUAAAAUCUGGCGGUCAUUGACUGUCCGAGUUGUAAUCUAGAGAAGUGUUGCCCGUGCUGGACCAUGUACAAGUCUUCUGGAAUGGAGCAUCAUAGAGGGUGAGAAUCCCGUCUUUGACAUGGACUACCAGUGCUUUUUUGGUAUGCUCUCAAAGAGUCGAGUUGUUUGGGAAUGCAGCUCAAAAUGGGUGGUAAAUGCCAUCUAAAGCUAAAUAUUGGCGAGAGACCGAUAGCGAACAAGUACCGUGAGGGAAAGAUGAAAAGAACUUUGGAAAGAGAGUUAAACAGUACGUGAAAUUGCUGAAAGGGAAACGCUUGAAGUCAGUCACAUUGACUUGAAAUCAACCCUGCUUUUGCUGGGUGUACUUUCUUGUUGAUGGGUCAGCAUCAAUUUUGACCGUUGGAUAAAGUUAUUGGGAAUGUGACAUCUUUGGAUGUGUUAUAGCCCAUUGAUGCAUACAGCGGUUGAGAUUGAGGAAUUCAGCAUGCCGCAAGGCCGGGUUUUUAACCACGUUCGUGCUUAGGAUGCUGGCAUAAUGGCUUUAAUCGACCCGUCUUGAAACACGGACCAAGGAGUCUAACAUGCCUGCAAGUGUUUGGGUGAAAAAACCCAUGUGCGUAAUGAAAGUGAAAGUUGAGAUCCCUUAGGGGAGCAUCGACGCCCGGACCAGACCUUUUUGUGACGGAUCCGCGGUAGAGCAUGUAUGUUGGGACCCGAAAGAUGGUGAACUAUGCCUGAAUAGGGUGAAGCCAGAGGAAACUCUGGUGAGGCUCGUAGCGAUUCUGACGUGCAAAUCGAUCGUCAAAUUUGGG